CCCUCUCUGUGUCCUCCCAGUGGUUUUACCCUAUGGUAGGUUACGUCAGGCUGUUCUACCACAGGGUAGAACCACGGACAGGAUACGGGGAGCU